GUUUGAUUGUUAAAUAUACAAAUUAUGUGAAGAUAAAAAAAAUCAUUAAAAUGCAAUUAUUUCAGCAAUGUAAGUUUAUGGCUAUAUAAGUACAUUAAAAGACCAACUUUGUAGGUCUUUAUGUGCUUAAUAAAACUGAAUAAUUUGCUAAAAUAAUCUUUGGUGGCAGUAGCAAGUAAAUUUUGUAUUUCCAUUUGACUUGAAGCAUAUUCCAGGUAUAUUAAAAAAAGAUUACUGCAUUUUAAACCAUAUGUCCCCAUAUUGGGUGUGAAGAACAACAGUGCUGGUGCAGGAAAAAAAAAAAAAAGAGAGAAUGAUGUGUGUAUAAUCUCUUCUUCUGCAUCCAGUAUUGCAGGUUGAAACUGUUGCCAGUGGAAAGUUGUUCAGCCAAAGAUGGAGAAGGGCAGGAAAGCCCCGAAGCACACCUUGUCAUCAGGUUGUUUGCAGCACUUCCUGCCUUCGCCCUUCCACAUCGCUGAGACACGUGAGAUGCAAACAGCCAACUGGAGGAGGAAGAGACAAAUGGAAAGUGAUGGAAAAGUGGAGGUACGUUAGUGCAGUAAGAAAAAACAUGCAAGGACCCAUGCUCCUCUUUAAAUUGAAAUGGGAUAAAAAUCUGCACAAUCAAACCUUCCUCUUUGCUUUUUCUCAAUGUGCUGACUGAGAAAUGGACAGUUCAGAUCCCCUCCCGAAGCCCCCGUGCUAAGCG
rnacentral:lncRNA from 1 species